rnacentral:tRNA from 1 species
UCCCUCGUAGUUCAGUCGGUAGAACGGCGGACUGUUAAUCCGUAUGUCACUGGUUCAAGUCCAGUCAGGGGAGCCA